AAGAGAAAAGAAGAAAAGACAUAAAGGAAACGAUAAAAAAAAGAAGGGGCCCAGCGUCUCUCUCGCCAUUUGUUCCUUCUCUUUUUUCCUUCGUUCUCCGACCAACGGCCACCAUUCCCGGUCUUUAAGGACACUAAAAACAUCUAUUCAACGCGAGGAAGAAGAUUAUGGCUUUGAUUUGAACUGAAGCUGGGUCGAUUUUGAGGGAAAAGAGCUUGAAGCUUCUGUCACUGUAGCAAAUCCUUUCUCCGGUGAUUUAUCACCAUUUCCGGCCUCUGAGAUACCCAUCUCGUUAAUCGGACAUGAGAUCGGAGAUCUCCUAAUGAAACGGAGCAAAAAGAUGUAAAAAAACGUGCAUUUCUGGGUUGUUUGAAAUAUCCGGCCACCGAGCAAGGCGGCGCCGGCGACAACCCGGCGACUUGCCGACGAGUCUCCGGCGAGACCCUCGGGGGGGCAGAAAUACCGGCUUCUCGCACUGAACCCGAUUCCGAAACCCAAAAUUGCAAAGGUAUCUAAGAGGAAGAGAUUGGAAGAUAAGUCAAUAAGCAGAGGAGUAAGGCUCAAAAGGCCUUCCAACUUAGGUUAGUGCAAUAUUACUUCUUACUCAGGUUGAAAUUGUCCCUCUUCUGUUGAGAUAAAAAUCACAUAUUGAGGUUGAGAUAGUUUUGUCUUGAUGGACUCAUAUGACACCGAUGGCCCUUGGGAUCGAGUCUAUUUAGAUUGCUGAGACUAAAUUGGAUAUUGUAAAGUUUCUUGAAUGGAUGUUUCCUGGAAACUGAAUUGGUGCUUUUCAAUUAUUAUUUUUAUAUAAGGCAGCUACUUAAUAUUUAGUAAAGAA